rfam:Leeuwenhoekiella blandensis MED217 scf_1099517004314 genomic scaffold, whole genome shotgun sequence.
UAAGGUGGUUAUAGCGACGGGGCUCACCUCUUACCAUUCCGAACAGAGUAGUUAAGCCCGUUAGCGCCGAUGGUACUACAUCUCGUGGGAGAGUAGGUCGCCGCCUUGU